CUGUGUCUCAAUUCAGGGUCUGCAUCCUACCUCGGCCGGAUUCGUCGGCCGGUUACGUCACAGCGCCGCGACUCGGCCUGUCCCAAUUCGAAGACUCCUUCAAAUGCGGUCGACGAAUGCGGCCUUCUUUUCGCCUGAAUGAAGGAUGGGUCGGGUGUAUCCUUCAAUAGGUAGCAUUUCCCAAGAUGCCUUGCGGGCCGGCCGGCAGAAAAACUUAAAAACAAUGGCGGACAGUGAAGCGGGAGCUGUCGGAGAGGAUUGCGCAUAUAAAUGUAAGUAUAAACUUGAAAACUGUCAGUUUAAGGACUUUUUGUGAUACAUGAACGUUAUUUUAGUUAGAAAUGUUACAGUAAAAGUGCUUGUAUUGCGGUCUCGGCUCGUAUGUUCGGCCGCGCUCGGUGUCGUACUUCUCCCACUACGUUUCCCCCUGAUUUUAAUAGAAGUUUGUAUUUUAGGACCAAAAGAGAAAACCAGGGAAUUUAUUAAGCUUAGGGCGGAGAUGGACCACAUGAUCACCGGAGCAAAGUAUUCGGCGGCUGUGGCAUGGAGACUAUUCUGGAGAAAAUGGGCAUCCAGGGGAAGGUGCCAGCGAUGAGCUUCUGGAGCUGAUCUGGGAGGACAUGAGGCUGCAGAGCAGCAGAGAGCACAGGAGAGAAGGAAGAACUUUGACAGCUUUUUACUUUGCUAGAAAAAAAAUGGUUAAUGAAGAUUAAACAUGUACAUGUAAAAGAAAUAUCUAAAUAAAAUCAGUUCUGCAUUAAA